rnacentral:rRNA from 1 species
CGGGUGAGUAACACGUGAGAAACCUGCCCUGAAGACGGGGAUAACAGAAGGAAACUUCUGCUAAUACCCGAUACCCCCACCGGAUCACAUGGUCUGGUGAGGAAAUGGAUUCCGCUUCAGGAGGGUCUCGCGGCCUAUCAGCUUGUUGGUGGGGUAAUGGCCCACCAAGGCUUGGACGGGUAGCUGGUCUGAGAGGACGAUCAGCCACACUGGGACUGAGACACGGCCCAG